AAACGACUCUUGGCAACGGAUAUCCCGGCUCUCGCAUCGAUGAAGAACGUAGCGAAAUGCGAUACUUGGUGUGAAUUGCAGAAUCCCGUGAACCAUCGAGUUUUUGAACGCAAGUUGCGCCCGAUGCCUUUAGGCUGAGGGCACGUCUGCCUGGGUGUCACGU
rnacentral:rRNA from 1 species